CCACUUGCACAUUGUUUGGUGAUUAGUCGUACCGGAAGUACGUAACUUCGGAAUUUCGAAAUCUAUAUUGACUGAACCAAAAGGCGGGCAGAAUUUCCAAAUCCGCCAUUGUAACCAGGGUAAAUAAACGCAUUUUAGAUUGACGAUGGUGAACAAGAAUUGCAUGUACGGGGUUUGUAAGAGUGACAGUAGGUACCCAGAGAGACUCGCGGAGAAGGAUGUGUACUUUAUUCCGUUCCCAAAACCAAUACGGAAUAGACUGAAGUGUGAAAGAUGGAUACGAGCUUGCGGACGACAUGACCUGAACGUGGAAAAAGUGACAAAAUACAGCUAUAUAUGUUCACUUCACUUUGUAAGGGGAAACGGUCCGACUGAGGAAUAUCCGGAUCCUAUUCCUGCAGGAGCCUGUGAAGCUGAAAAGGAGAAUUUCAUGCUGCAGAACCGGAAAAGAAGGGCACCAAUAGACCGUCCCAGCCUUGUGUGUAGGAAGGUGAAAAAAAACAGGAAAAUCAGCUGAUCAGAGAACAGUAGACCUAGAUCACUCUUAUUGUAUAGUUCAUGUUCCAGAUUUUGAAGCAGAGAUUGAACUAGGGCCUGGAGACGAAGGGAAGGUACAAGAUGACAUUGACACCACUAUCUUUACUGCUACUCCUCUACCUGUGGAAACAACAGGUAAAUUAAUAUAUUUAUGACUGGACAUAGGAGCUGUAUAUUUCUAAAUGGACUGGAGGAUAUGU